rnacentral:rRNA from 1 species
UCGAGAAUUUUUCACAAUGGGGGAAACCCUGAUGGAGCGACGCCGCGUGGAGGAUGAAGGCCUUCGGGUUGUAAACUCCUGUCAUUGGUGAACAAGAUCUGCCGGGUAACUCCGUGCAGGUUUGCUAGUAGCCGAAGAGGAAGGGACGGCUAACUCUGUGCCAGCAGCCGCGGUAAUACAGAGGUCCCAAGCGUUGUUCGGAUUUAUUGGGCGUAAAGGGUGCGUAGGCGGCGGAGUAAGUUGGGUGUGAAAUCCCGAGGCUCAACCUCGGAAUUGCAUUCAAUACUGCUUCGCUAGAGUACUGGAGAGGAGGCUGGAAUUUACGGUGUAGCAGUGAAAUGCGUAGAUAUCGUAAGGAAGGCCGGUGGCGAAAGCGAGCCUCUGGACAGUUACUGACGCUGAGGCACGAAGGCCAGGGGAGCAAACGG